GUUCCGUUCAAGGGAUUUCGGACAUAACAAUGGGAGAAAAACUAUUGCACCAGUUUUAUAUAAAACUGCCGGUGCAGCCAAUGGUAUUUUCGAUUAGCUUCAGGAAAGAUAACGAGCCAUUCAAGACUGCGAAUGAGAAUGGGCAACAAAAUUCCUUUGUCGCCGGCAACUAACUAUUAUGAAGAUGAAUGAGGAAAUUGAAGAUCAAUUGAUCUUGUAUUUGUAAUGCUACAAGCCUACAACAUUAACUUUUUUUGUACUUUAAUUUCAUAUUUGGAUAAUUUAUUUUUAUCGUUGGAUGAUUUUAACUUAAUGAUAUAAAAUUUGAGUUGUUUAA